rnacentral:rRNA from 1 species
CCUACGGGCGGCAGCAGUGAGGAAUAUUGGUCAAUGGACGAGAGUCUGAACCAGCCAAGUAGCGUGAAGGAUGACUGCCCUAUGGGUUGUAAACUUCUUUUAUAUGGGAAUAAAAUGUUCCACGUGUGGGUUUUUGUAUGUACCAUAUGAAUAAGGAUCGGCUAAUUCCGUGCCAGCAGCCGCGGUAAUACGGAGGAUCCGAGCGUUAUCCGGAUUUAUUGGGUUUAAAGGGAGCGUAGGUGGAUUGUUAAGCCUGUUGUGAAAGUUUGCGGCUCAACCGUAAAAUUGCAGUUGAAACUGGCAGUCUUGAGUACAGUAGAGGUAGGCGGAAUUCGUGGUGUAGCGGUGAAAUGCUUAGAUAUCACGAAGAACUCCGAUUGCGAAGGCAGCUCACUGGACUGCAACUGACACUGAGGCUCGAAAGUGUGGGUAUCAAACAGGAUUAGAUACCCUUGUAGUC